GUAGGUGGCAAGUGUUGUCCGGAAUUAUUGGGCGUAAAGCGCGCGCAGGCGGUCCUUUAAGUCUGAUGUGAAAGCCCACGGCUCAACCGUGGAGGGUCAUUGGAAACUGGGGGACUUGAGUACAGAAGAGGAAAGCGGAAUUCCAAGUGUAGCGGUGAAAUGCGUAGAGAUUUGGAGGAACACCAGUGGCGAAGGCGGCUUUCUGGUCUGUAACUGACGCUGAGGCGCGAAAGCGUGGGGAGCAAACAGGAUUAGAUACCCUGGUAGUCCACGCCGUAAACGAUGAGUGCUAAGUGUUAGGGGGUUUCCCGCCCCCUUAGUGCUGCAGCUAACGCAUUAAGCACUCCGCCUGGGGAGUACGGCCGCAAGGCUG
rnacentral:rRNA from 1 species